rnacentral:rRNA from 1 species
CGGAAGCCUUUGCAGCUGGAGACAGUAAGCCGGACGACUCAAAACAACCCGUGCCCCAUGCAAGUCAGCCCCCGGGCUGGCGACACUUUCGAAUUGACGGGGACACCCUAAAGUCCUUCCCACCAAGCCAGUCGGGGAAACCUGCUGGUGGCCUGUCCUAACGUACAGGGUAUGGUAACAGAGGGAGGAAUGAUCCAGGAGCCUUUUGGCCCUGGUGAAAUGGGCAAUCCGCAGCGAAGCCCCUACCGCCACGCAGUGGCCACGGGGAACGUUCACAGACUAAGUGGAAGUGGGUGGAGCGCUUCGGCGCUCUGCUUAAGAUAUAGUCGGGCCCCUUGGGAAACCUUGGGGGAGUGUUCAUCUCAUGGCUUCGCCGCCUGAGAUACCCAAAACGUUCCGUAGGUGAACCUUCGGAAGGAUCAUUACCGUAACGCGGCGGUCCGGCAACUGCAAGGAAGUCGGCCGCCACACGCGUUUAUCACCCUUGACUUUGAGCACCUUUCGUUUCCUCGGCGGGUUCGCCCGCCAGCGAGGACCCCCACAAACCCUUUGUAAUAGCAAUAUUUGUCUGAAAAACAACCAAUAAUCAAAACUUUCAACAAUGGAUCUCUUGGUUCUGGCAUCGAUGAAGAACGCAGCGAAAUGCGAUAAGUAGUGUGAAUUGCAGAAUUCAGUGAAUCAUCGAAUCUUUGAACGCACAUUGCGCCCCUCGGUAUUCCGUGGGGCAUGCCUGUUCGAGCGUCAUUUAACCCCUCAGCCUAGCUUGGUAUUGGGUGCUUGUCCCGCCUCUCGCGCGGCGACUCACCUCAAAGUCAUUGGCAGCCCGCAUCUCGCCGGCCGUGAGCGCAGCACAGACGCGCUCUUGGCAACGACGGAUCGGCUCUCCAAAAGCUUAUUUCAACCACUGACCUCGGAUCAGGUAGGGAUACCCGCUGAACUUAAGCAUAUCAAUAAGCGGAGGAAAAGAAACCAACAGGGAUUGCCUCAGUAACGGCGAGUGAAGCGGCAACAGCUCAAAUUUGAAAUCUGGCCCUUUCAGGGUCCGAGUUGUAAUUUGCAGAGGGUGCUUUGGUGUCGGCCGUGGUCUAAGUUCCUUGGAACAGGACGUCACAGAGGGUGAGAAUCCCGUACGUGGCCGCCGGUCUUCACCGUGUAAAGCCCCUUCGACGAGUCGAGUUGUUUGGGAAUGCAGCUCUAAAUGGGAGAUACAUUUCUUCUAAAGCUAAAUAUUGGCCAGAGACCGAUAGCGCACAAGUAGAGUGAUCGAAAGAUGAAAAGCACUUUGGAAAGAGAGUCAAAAAGCACGUGAAAUUGUUGAAAGGGAAGCGCUUGCAGCCAGACGUGCCCGCAGUUGCUCACCUGGGCUCUCGCCCGGGGCAUUCUUCUGCGGGCAGGCCAGCAUCAGUUCGGGCGGUUGGAUAAAGGCCUCUAUCACGUAUCUUCCUUCGGGAUGACCUUAUAGGGGAGGCGCAACACGACC